UUCCCUCCGCGCCGAGCGCUGCGCGUCGUCGGCGACGGCAGCGGUCGGCCAGACGCGUCCCGCCUGUCCUGUGUGAGCCGUCCUUUCCGAGAGCGUGCCGGGGGAGAGGCCGCCGGCCGCCGCCCCGGGUCGGGACGGUGCUGCCGGAGACUCGCCGAGGCUUCGCACUUGCUUUUGCAGAACGUGGAAGUUAGAUGAUAAUCUACGAAGUGCUGAAUCGGAAGGCAGACUCCAGCCAAAAUUAAAAGUCGCCAAGCCUCCUAUUUAAGUGCACCUCUGUACUUGUUAAGAAACAGCAGGAAAGGACCUCGCCAAGUUGCCUCCGCUGGCCGCGAACUUGAGAUCCUCCUGCCUCAGCCUCCCAAGUCACUGGAACUUGAGGCCUGCGUCACCGUACCCCACUGCUGCUGCCUUUUGUGUGUGUGUGUGUGUGUGUGUGUGUGUGUGUGUGUGUGUUUACGGAGUUCUGAGACAGCUGGUAAGCUGGGUAUUUACAGGGCUCAUACUAUGAAAUUGUAGUACCAAAGUGCGUGGACCUUAAAGAUGACCUUUUACUCUUAUGUAGACCAGUCUGCCCCUGUUCCAGUCCUAGCCCUCGGUUGGCUGGCUGUAACCCUGGGCACUUUAUCCCUCAGAGAGUCACUUUCUCAUGCAUGAAAUGGGAACAACAAGUAGCAGCACCUGUUGGCCAGUGUCAUGAAGGUUAGGCUUUGAGGAUGGUGACCCACGGGGCAGUGUCUGAUAAGCUUCCCUGUGGAAGCAGCCUUCGGACUCUUCAGAGGCAGCCAGAUCUCUUUCACUUACAGCCAGUAAUUUCAUGGGGUCAGAAAUGGACACCUGAUAAGAAUAGCCAGCCCACAGCUGGUGAGCAUUCAUGAAAAGAUGGUCCGAGGGUUCCCACAUGUGCCUCGUUGUAAGAAUUGCCUGGUAAAAGUGAUGGAAUCCAGAGUCCUCCACCCCAGCUUCACCUACAGGAUCAGCCUAGAUGGAGGGGAACUGGAAGCUGCAGUUCUUAUUUUGUCCUCUGACAAUACACUCAUUCUUGGGGAAAACUUGAAAAAUACUGAUCCAAGCCAAUGAGUUUCUUUCCAGGGAAUUUAAAAUAGGAAAUGUGAAUAAACUGGGAAUUUGCCUCAGAAAUUGAAUCUGAAAAUAUACAAAUUUUCCACAGAAACAAAAAGAAGUAAAAACUGCAAGAAAAUAAAAUGUGAAGUAAAAGGCAAGAAUUGAGCCGUGUGGAGGGCUGGGGAGAUAGCUCAGUUGGUAGAGUGUUUGCCUCGCAAGCACAAGGCCCUGGGUUCAAUCCCCAGUACCGCAAAAAAAAAAAAAAAAAGUGUGGGCCACACACCAUAUCAGGAGUCUUCAGGGAGGAGCAGAACAGGCAUCAUCCCUACCAGCAUGUAGUUGGUUGGCAUGAAAGUUCAUGUCUGUCAAUAAAAUUCGUGCAGCUGUUGUCCAAAUGCUUUCUUACCCCAGAAUCUAUAUGUUGAAGCAUAAUUCCAGGGUGAUAGUAUUAAGACGGCCUUUUGAGAGGUGAUCAGGACAUGAGGGCAGAGCUCUCUUCAGUGACAUUAGUGCCAUUAAGAAAGAGUUCUGUUGGGCAUAGUAUCCCAUGCCUACAAUUCCAGCUGCUCCCAGGAGGCUGAGACUGGAAGAUUUUGCAUUGAAAGCCAGCCUCAGCAAUUUAGUGAGGUCCUAAGCAACUGAGACCAUCUCAAAAUUAAAAUAUGUAUUAAAAUAUAUACACACAUACAUACAUACAUAUGCAUGAAAACGGCUGGUGAUGUGGUUCAGUGGUUAAGCACCCCUGGUUUCGAUCCCUAGUGCCAAAAAAAAAAAAAAGAGUCCUGAGCCAGGUAUUGGCCCAUGCCAAUAAUUCCAGUGGCUCUAGAGGAUGAAG